AAACUUUGCUUUUACACAGCUGGUAAAUGUGAGGACCAGGUGAAGAGAGAAGAGAUUUCAGGGCCCAGUGACAAAGGUCAAGAAGGAGAAAGUAAGUCUGAGCCUACAGAGUCAACAAAGGAAGCUGGUGGAGCUAAGGAGCAGGUGGAGAGUGAACAGAUUCCAGUGUCUAGUGAUCAAGGUAAAG